AGGAAUUUAAGUUAACAUAUUAAACCUAAAACCUUCAAAGUUCUAAAUGAGAGUG
rnacentral:tRNA from 1 species